rnacentral:rRNA from 1 species
CCUACGGGAGGCAGCAGUGAGGAAUAUUGGUCAAUGGGCGCGAGCCUGAACCAGCCAAGCAGCGUGAAUGAAGACUGCCCUACGUGUUGUAAACUUCUUUUAUAAAGGAAUAAAGUGAGGCACGUGUGCCUUUUUGUAUGUACUUUAUGAAUAAGGAUCGGCUAACUCCGUGACAGCAGCCGCGGCAAUACGGAGGAUCCGAGCGUUAUCCGGAUUUAUUGGGUUUAAAGGGAGCGUAGAUGGGUUGUUAAGUCAGUUGUGAAAGUGUGCGGCUUAACCGUAAAAUUGCAAUUGAUACUGGCAGCCUUGAGUACAGUAGAGAUAGGCGGAAUUCGUGGUGUAGCGGUGAAAUGCUUAGAUAUCACGAAGAACUCCGAUGGCGAAGGCAGCCUACUAAACUGCCACUGACAUUGAUGCGCGAAAGUGUGGGUAUCAAACAGGAUUAGAUACCCGGGUAGUC